AAGUCGUAACAAGGUUUCCGUAGGUGAACCUGCGGAAGGAUCAUUAUCGAAAAGCAAUCCGGGGGGAGGCGACCGAGCGAAGUUUGGUAGAUCGUAGGGAUUGUCGCUGGCCUUUGGAAACGAAGGCAUGUGCACGUUCCGAGUUCUCCUUAGUCCUCCUUUGCCUUGCCUUUGGAAAGCCCUUUCUUCACACCCGUGCACCCAUUGUAGGUCUCCGCGAGGGGAUCUAUGUCUUCACAUAAACACUACGUAUGUCUAGGAAUGUAUCUAAAAGCGUCGGACGGCUUGGCUUCGUGCCCGGUCGGCGACGGUAAAGAACCAUAAUACAA
rnacentral:misc_RNA from 1 species